rnacentral:lncRNA from 1 species
UGCUGCAGCUCGUCCCUUGGCCCACUGGCCAUCAACUCUCACAAAACCCAUGCGCCUAAGAGAGUAGUUGUUGUAGGUGUCAGUAUAUGACAGUCUACAAAUAAUCUCUCCCUCAAAAUUGACUCUUGACUCUUUGAAAAUAACAGUAAGGGCCAUACCAUAGGGCAAAGGAACCUUAGACCUGUUCAAGGCUUCCCUCAUGGCAUCUAUCAUCAGGAAGGGAAGGUUCAAGAGAGUCUCUAAAACUACAUAGUGCAUGAGACAA